rnacentral:rRNA from 1 species
UACGUAGGGUGCAAGCGUUGUCCGGAAUCAUUGGGCGUAAAGAGCGCGUAGGCGGCCAGAUAAGUCCGGUGUGAAAGUCACAGGCUCAACCUGUGAAUGCCGCUGGAAACUGUCUGGCUAGAGUCCGGAAGGGGCGAGUGGAAUUCCUGGUGUAGCGGUGAAAUGCGCAGAUAUCAGGAGGAACACCAAUGGCGAAGGCAGCUCGCUGGAACGGUACUGACGCUGAGGCGCGAAAGCGUGGGGAGCAAACAGG